GGCAGCAGCCGCGGGAACACCGGCGGCCCGAGUGGUGAUCGUGAUUAUUGGGUCUAAGGGUCCGUAGCCGGUUGGUCAGUCCUCCGGGAAAUCUGAUAGCUCAACUAUUAGGCUUUCGGGGGAUACUGCCAGACUUGGAACCGGGAGAGGUAAGAGGUACUACAGGGGUAGGAGUGAAAUCUUGUAAUCCCUGUGGGACCACCUGUGGCGAAGGCGUCUUACCAGAACGGGUUCGACGGUGAGGGACGAAAGCUGGGGGCACGAACCGGAUUAGAUACCCGGGUAGUCCCAGCCGUAAACGAUGCUCGCUAGGUGUCAGGCAUGGCGCGACCGUGUCUGGUGCCGCAGGGAAGCCGUGAAGCGAGCCACCUGGGAAGUACGGCCGCAAGGCUGAAACUUAAAGGAAUUGGCGGGGGAGCACAACAACGGGUGGAAGCCUGCGGUUUAAUUGGACUCAACGCCGGACAACUCACCGGGGGCGACAGCAAUAUGUAGGCCAAGCUGAAGACUUUGCCUGAAUCGCUGAGAAGAGGUGCAUGG
rnacentral:rRNA from 1 species